GGCAUUAGCUCAGCGGUUAGAGCAGAGGACUCAUAAUCCUUUGGUCCCCGGUUCAAAUCCAGGAUGC
rnacentral:tRNA from 1 species